CUAAAGAUUCUUUAGAUUUUAUUGAAUUCAUGUGCUCCACUCAAUUUGUAGGUCAUAAAAGGGUAUAAGCAGUAAACGCAUCGAGUCAAAGACGUCGUCUCUUACACAGAAAAUGAAGGCUUUUUGCUAUACUAAAUAGUUUAGUAUACUUUUCUUGGUGUUGUCAGAAGAACAUUCGUGCUGAGUAGAUGAAUGUAUGCACAUCAUUCACGAGUAUCAACCACGGACAUCUUGAAUGUCACACAACUAUUGACCAAGGACAUCUUGAACGUCAUGGCUGACGUUACUUCCACUUUGUCCAUCGGUAUGGUACUAUGGUCUAGUUCUAGUCCUUAAACCUCACGUGUAUAUAUAUUAUUAACAAGUACGAUUUAUAAUACAAAAUGGCAUGAGCGUUUUUAGUUAAAACAAAUGCUUUUAGAUCGAGGAAAUCAAAAUAUCUGAAUAUAAAAACCAUUUUCUGAUUGGUAACUAUCCAAAAAUAACAAUUAACAUUUACACACAAAAAAAAACUAUUCAAAAAUACGAAGCUUACCAAUCAAACUAAGUAUGUUGGUAGAGUUAACUAUAUUUAUUAUUCCGUCGGUUUAUGUGUAACACUUCAAUAUUUACAUAAAAAGUUUUUGACAAGAGAAAAAGUUCAGUAUUUACUUAAUGGUUUAUUCUAUUUUUAGACUUUCUCUAAUGAUUUACUCUAUUUUUAUUUUAAAAUCUUUUUAUUUAAAAUAAAGUAAUCCUAUAAUAAAGUUUAGUUAUACCUUAAUGGUAUUAUUUUAGAAAAAAAAACAAUAGAAUAAUGAAUAAAAAUUUAAAAAAUAUUAUAUUAUAGAGUAAAUUUCUUUUAAUUUUAUUAUAAAAUGAAAAAUAGAGUAUUAUUUGAACAUAUAUACUCUAAAUUCUAUUUUAUAACGAAAUUUGGAGAUACUCUUAAGUAAUAAUAUGUUAGAUGUUUGUUGUAAAAAAAAAUUAUGUUAGAUUGUUGAUCUAAUUUGCAAGACUAAUCAAUAAAGAAGAUUCUAAAAAAAAAA